GGAAUAUUGGUCAAUGGGCGAGAGCCUGAACCAGCCAUGCCGCGUGCAGGAAGACGGCCUUCUGGGUUGUAAACUGCUUUUCUACGGGAAGAAAAAGCUUAUGCGUAAGCAAUUGACGGUACUGUAGGAAUAAGCACCGGCUAACUCCGUGCCAGCAGCCGCGGUAAUACGGAGGGUGCGAGCGUUGUCCGGAUUUAUUGGGUUUAAAGGGUGCGUAGGCGGCUUAUUAAGUCAGUGGUGAAAUCUUUCGGCUUAACCGAGAAACUGCCAUUGAAACUGAUGAGCUUGAGUUUGAGUGAGGUAGGCGGAAUUUAUGGUGUAGCGGUGAAAUGCAUAGAUACCAUAAAGAACACCGAUAGCGUAGGCAGCUUACUGGCUCGCAACUGACGCUGAGGCACGAAAGCAUGGGUAUCGAACAGGAUUAGAUACCCUGGUAGUCCAUGCUGUAAACGAUGAUUACUCGCUGUUGGUCUUUAGGGAUCA
rnacentral:rRNA from 1 species